UCUCCUGGAAACGGGUGGUAAUGCCGGAUGUUCCACAUGAGCGCAUGCGAGUGUGGGAAAGGCUUUUUGCGGCAUGGGAUGGGGUCGCGUCCUAUCAGCUUGUUGGUGGGGUAACGGCCUACCAAGGCGUUGACGGGUAGCCGGCCUGAGAGGGCGACCGGCCACAUUGGGACUGAGAUACGGCCCAGACUCCUACGGGAGGCAGCAGUGGGGAAUAUUGCACAAUGGGCGCAAGCCUGAUGCAGCGACGCCGCGUGCGGGAUGGAGGCCUUCGGGUUGUAAACCGCUUUUGUUCAAGGGCAAGGCACGGUUUCGGCCGUGUUGAGUGGAUUGUUCGAAUAAGCACCGGCUAACUACGUGCCAGCAGCCGCGGUAAUACGUAGGGUGCAAGCGUUAUCCGGAUUUAUUGGGCGUAAAGGGCUCGUAGGCGGUUCGUCGCGUCCGGUGUGAAAGUCCAUCGCUUAACGGUGGAUCCGCGCCGGGUACGGGCGGGCUUGAGUGCGGUAGGGGAGACUGGAAUUUCCCGGUGUAACGGUGGAAUGUGAGAUAUCGGGAAGAACACCA
rnacentral:rRNA from 1 species